GGUCAAGCUAAUAAGGGCUGAUGGUGGACACCUAGGCACACAGAG
rnacentral:rRNA from 1 species